UACGACUAUUAUACGACCACGUGU
rnacentral:siRNA from 1 species